AAACUUGAGAGUUUGAUCCUGGCUCAGAACGAACGCUGGCGGCAUGCCUAACACAUGCAAGUCGAACGAAGGCUUCGGCCUUAGUGGCGCACGGGUGCGUAACGCGUGGGAAUCUGCCCCUCGGUUCGGAAUAACACAGAGAAAUUUGUGCUAAUACCGGAUGAUGACUUCGGUCCAAAGAUUUAUCGCCGAGGGAUGAGCCCGCGUAGGAUUAGCUAGUUGGUAGGGUAAAGGCCUACCAAGGCGACGAUCGGUAGCUGGUCUGAGAGGAUGAUCAGCCACACUGGGACUGAGACACGGCCCAGACUCCUACGGGAGGCAGCAGUGGGGAAUAUUGGACAA
rnacentral:rRNA from 1 species